CCCGUUUCAUCUCCUCCCCAAACCCCUCUCAGAGAAGACUUGUAACCCUAGCUGCCGCCCAACAAUUCCCUCGUCGCCACCCCAAACCGCCCCAAAAUUAUACCACAGACCCACCGUGACCUCCUCUCCCCAAAUCUCAAACCAACUUCCCUCGAAUCUAUGUGGAACUCGUCAAAUUUUGAAUCUGAAGCGUGAGUCCUUGAAGCCAAAUCCAAACUCGUUUAUGCAGAGUUAUUGCUCCAGUUAUCAUGAGCUUUUAGGGUUGAUUUUGAUGUUAUUUGGGGAUGAAAUCGGAGUGUCAAGUCCCAGGUUCGAGCUUUAGUCAGUGAGUUUUCCUUCAUUUCUUUGUUCAUCUCUUCUUCUUUUUCUUUGGUGGAUUCAAUUGAAACUCGAUUAAUUUUCUGAUUGAGAGUAGGUAAUGUUCUUGUGUUCUUCAUCAGUUUUAUUUUCUCAAACUUGUUUCUUUGACUUCUUUAGUCCGUUAAACAUGAUUUUUUUAGCACCUCUGUUUAAUUAUUCCAAACUCGCUUAGGGUUAAUUCUGCUUUGUCAAUCUUGUUAUUAUUGGUCUUUGUCUUCUUUUUAAUUCACAAGGGUCAAGGUAAUAGUCAGCCAAGAAGCAAAUUGGUCAUUUUUGUUACUGUCAUUUAGUUUUGUUAGGGCUUGAGUCAGAAGUUGAGUUUUGAAUGUUCAUUUGGAUUGGUCUAGAAUCAGCUGUGGGCUCUUUGAGUCAUUUAUGACCCAGCUCAAAGAUGCUCGGUUGUUAUCAGCCCAGUUUUUGUUUGAUUAGCAAGGUAAAUUCAGGAUCGUUAAUAGGUAGACCACUGUGGGAAUCUUUUGCCAACUAUUUAAGAAGCUUCUGGAAGUUGAAAAUAAACUUGCUUGGCGAGCAAGUCAAAAUUUGAGGGAUUGCUAAAUAAAAAAAAUAAUUCAAAAAGGACUAAAAUGCAAAAUUAAAAUUUUAUUGUUUACCCCAGUUGCUUGCCCAUAAAGGCAUUACUCUAAGCUGAAUUCAGAUUUUGAGGGCUAAAAAUCCAAAAAUAAAAAGGGCGGCUGAAACUUCUCUUAAAAUACUGUUCCAUUGGUUUCUUUGCUGGGUUUUGUUGAAGUUUGAGUCUCUGAAGUAACCUUGAGUCAUUUUGGGGUUAAAAUGAGUUGAAGUUUAGUCAUUUUAAAGCUGGUUUAAGUUUAUAAAGAAAAUACUGUUAUAUUGAGGUUUCUGCUGGGAGUUUUGGAAUUUCUCAUUUUCUGGAUGAUAUUCAGUUCCAUUUGAGUUUUAAAAAUGGAUUUCUGUUGCUGACAAUUUCUGAGCUGUGGUUGUUUAUUGUUGCCUCAUUUCCAUAUUUCUUUUCAUUUUCAGGUACACAUUUCUUAGAUCUACCUAAUGUAAAGCUUGAUUCGAAGUUGAAAUGGAAACCUGGAACAUAAUGUCAAUCUGUUUUUCCUCCUUUUGUUCAUAUUUUAGUUUAAUUUGUUUUAAAUACAGUAUUUGAGUUGUAUGAUGUAUUGCACUUUGCUGGAUGUUUCGUAUUACUAAGAACUACAUGUGGUCUGGGCCUAGUGGGAAUUCAUUUCUCUAUCAAACAUCUCAUGGCUAGAUGUGGGUUGUGACAAAUGAACUCAUACUAUGGUACUUGAUUUUGGACUGUCG
rnacentral:lncRNA from 1 species